UACGUAGGGUCCGAGCGUUGUCCGGAAUUAUUGGGCGUAAAGGGCUCGUAGGCGGUUCGUCACGUCGGGAGUGAAAACUCGGAGCUUAACUCCGAGCCUGCUUCCGAUACGGGCAGACUAGAGGUAGGCAGGGGAGAGCGGAACUCCUGGUGUAGCGGUGGAAUGCGCAGAUAUCAGGAGGAACACCGGUGGCGAAGGCGGAUCUCUGGGCCGAUACUGACGCUGAGGAGCGAAAGCGUGGGGAGCGAACAGG
rnacentral:rRNA from 1 species